rnacentral:sRNA from 1 species
CAAGCACCCCGGCUGCGUAUUCCAAAACCGUUUAAGAAUCAGCCGAUCGGCAGUGGCGCCUGGAGAUCCAUCACCGAUACUUCACUAUGUUGCUCCGAUGCCUUCCCCCCGCGCAUCGAGCAACGAAGGCACCAGGGACCGGGUGCCUUCGUUCCACUCCUAAUGGUCUUGACCCGAACUCUUCCCCCCUGGAGUUCGG